rnacentral:lncRNA from 1 species
CCAGGAGCAGAGAUGGAAGGGGGAUGGGGAAGGAAGAGUAGAAGGACAAAAACAGGCUCCAGGCACUCGCUUGAAAGGGAAAGCCUGCACACACACACAGAUUCCCUACACAGCCAUGUAACACACGAAGUAGCCACGCAACACAGGGACAUUUGAGCUGUCAAAGCAUCUGCCUGAAUGUGGGCAUGCAGACCCUGCCAGUUGUCAAUGGGCGGGGUCAGCACAAUGCCAGGAUACCAAUAGGCGUAUCUAUCAAUGGAGUUGCAUGGCAGGCAGACAGAAGGGGACAGAGCUUGAAAGAAAGUGUGAUAAGGUUCUGAGAUUCAGUUUAUUAAGAAAGGAAAGCACUCCCAAGAAUAGGAGUGGAAUACUAUGAUGGUUUGAAUGAACAUGGCCCCCAUAGGCCAUUAGGGAGUGGCUCUAUUAGGAGGUGUGGCCUUGUUGGAGGAAGUGUGUCACUGGUAGUGGGCUUUGAUGUCUCAGAUGGUCAAACCAGGUCCAGUGUCUCCCUCUUCCUGCUGCCUGCCGGUUCUGAUGUGGAACUCUCAGCUACUUCUCAUGCGUCAGGUCUUCCUGUGUGCCAACGUGCUUCCCGCCAUGACGACAAUGGACUGAAACUUUGAACUGUAAGCCAGCCCCAAUUAAAUGUUUUCCUUCAUAAGAGUUGCUGUGGUCAUGGUGUCUCUUCACAACACUAAAAUAAAAACCUCAACUAAGCCAACUAUUGAGAGAAAGAAAACAGUUUGGGCCAGGAGACCCAUGGCUCUUUAUAGCACAGUCACAAAGCACCUGCCUCUACCUCCCAAUGUUCCGUUGCAUGAAGCCCCGCCCAGGAAGGUAUACAUGCAUACAUUUAGAACCUGUGAACAUCUGGUAUCUCAGAAGACAAGAGAAGUGUGUUGGAUCUCCCACAACUGGAAUUAUAGUUGUGAGCUGCCAUGUGGGGACUAAGAACUGAACCUAAGUCUUCCUCAAGGGUAGCCAGUGCUCUUGGCUCCAGAACCAUUUCUCCAGUGCUUCUCUGUUGAUCCCAAUCCAGCCCCUUUCAAUCUCUUCGACUUGGCUUUGUCAUCAGUGGCCUUUCCGGAAUGAGUGGAUGCUCCUUUCAUAGCUCCUCCAAGUAGAAGAUAGGAUUAGGAUGGGGACAAGAUCCAGCCAGAGCCAACCAAUUCUUCACUAGGGGCAAGAAUACCACAUUCUUAAAAUGAAUAGAACCCAUGAAUGGCGAGGUGGAUCAGUGGUUAAGAGCCCUGGCUGCUUUUCCAGAGGACUGGUUUUAGUUCCCAAUCC